rnacentral:rRNA from 1 species
CCUGAUCCAGCAAUGCCGCGUGAGUGAAGAAGGCCUUCGGGUUGUAAAGCUCUUUUGUCAGGGAAGAAACGGUGAGCUCUAAUACAGUUUGCUAAUGACGGUACCUGAAGAAUAAGCACCGGCUAACUACGUGCCAGCAGCCGCGGUAAUACGUAGGGUGCAAGCGUUAAUCGGAAUUACUGGGCGUAAAGCGUGCGCAGGCGGUUUUGUAAGUCUGUCGUGAAAUCCCCGGGCUCAACCUGGGAAUGGCGAUGGAGACUGCAAGGCUAGAGUUUGGCAGAGGGGGGUAGAAUUCCACGUGUAGCAGUGAAAUGCGUAGAUAUGUGGAGGAACACCGAUGGCGAAGGCAGCCCCCUGGGUCAAAACUGACGCUCAUGCACGAAAGCGUGGGGAGCAAACAGGAUUAGAUACCCUGGUAGUCCACGCCCUAAACGAUGUCUACUAGUUGUCGGGUCUUAAUUGACUUGGUAACGCAGCUAACGCGUGAAGUAGACCGCCUGGGGAGUACGGUCGCAAGAUUAAAACUCAAAGGAAUUGACGGGGACCCGCACAAGCGGUGGAUGAUGUGGAUUAAUUCGAUGCAACGCGAAAAACCUUACCUACCCUUGACAUGGAUGGAAUCCUUGAGAGAU